AACGAACGCUGGCGGCAUGCCUAACACAUGCAAGUCGAACGAGACCUUCGGGUCUAGUGGCGCACGGGUGCGUAACGCGUGGGAACCUGCCCUUAGGUUCGGAAUCACUCCCCGAAAGGGGUGCUAAUACCGGAUAAUGUCUUCGGCCCAAAGAUUUAUCGCCUUUGGAUGGGCCCGCGUUGGAUUAGCUAGUUGGUAGGGUAAAAGCCUACCAAGGCGACGAUCCAUAGCUUGUCGGAGAGGAUGAUCAGCCACACUGGGACUGAGACACGGCCCAGACUCCUACGGAAGGGAGCAGUGGGGAAUAUUGCACAAUGGGCGGAAGCCUGAUCCAGCAAUGCCGCGUGAGUGAUGAAGGCCUUAGGGUUGUAAAUCUCUUUUACCCGGGAUGAUAAUGACAGUACCGGGAGAAUAAGCUCCGGCUAACUCCGUG
rnacentral:rRNA from 1 species